rnacentral:rRNA from 1 species
UACGUAGGCAGCAAGCGUUGUUCGGAGUUACUGGGCGUAAAGGGUGCGCAGGCGGCCAAGUGUGUCAGGUGUGAAAUCCCGAGCUUAACCUCGGAACUGCGCCUGAAACUACUUGGCUAGAGUACUGGAGAGGGUAACGGAAUUCACGGUGUAGCAGUGAAAUGCGUAGAUAUCGUGAGGAACACCAGAGGCGAAGGCGGUUACCUGGACAGUUACUGACGCUCAGGCACGAAAGCGUGGGGAGCAAAAGGG